AUGUUAUCACAACAACUAAGACCAAAGUGCAACUAAGCUGUCAUAAGCCUAAGAUGUACCUAAAACCUUUCUUAUAAACAAUCUUAGCAUUUUUGAUUAAUUUAAUUCCACGAAAGCUAAGACACAAACUGGGAUUAGAUACCCCACUAUGCUUAGCCCUAAAUCUUGAUGCUUUUCAUACUAAAGUAUCCGCCUGAGAACUACGAGCACAAACGCUUAAAACUCUAAGGACUUGGCGGUGCCUAAACCCACCUAGAGGAGCCUGUUCUAUAAUCGAUAACCCACGUUACACCCGACCACCUCUCGCUAAAAGCAGCCUACAUACCGCCGUCGCCAGCUCACCUUUCCUGAGAGUUUAACAGUGAGCACAAUAGCCUAAACCCGCUAACAAGACAGGUCGAGGUAUAGCCCAUGAGGUGGAAGAAAUGGGCUACAUUUUCUAAAAUAGAAUACUCACGGAAGGGGGUGUGAAACCACCCCCCGAAGGCGGAUUUAGCAGUAAAGAGGGACAAUAUAAGCCCCCUUUAAGCCGGCCCUGGGCACGUACAUACCGCCCG
rnacentral:rRNA from 1 species